rnacentral:rRNA from 1 species
GAUGAACGCUGGCGGCGUGCCUAAUACAUGCAAGUCGAGCGAACGGACGAGAAGCUUGCUUCUCUGAUGUUAGCGGCGGACGGGUGAGUAAAACGUGGAUAACCUACCUAUAAGACUGGGAUAACUUCGGGAAACCGGAGCUAAUACCGGAUAAUAUUUUGAACCGCAUGGUUCAAAAGUGAAAGACGGUCUUGCUGUCACUUAUAGAUGGAUCCGCGCUGCAUUAGCUAGUUGGUAAGGUAACGGCUUACCAAGGCAACGAUGCAUAGACGACCUGAGAGGGUGAUCGGCCACACUGGAACUGAGACACGGUCCAGACUCCUACGGGAGGCAGCAGUAGGGAAUCUUGCGCAAUGGGCGAAAGCCUGACGGAGCAACGCCGCGUGAGUGAAGAAGGUCUUCGGAUCGUAAAGCUCUGUUAUUAGGGAGGAACAUAUGUGUAUGUAACUGUUCACGUCUUGACGGUACCUAAUCAGAAAGCCACGGCUAACUACGUG